AAUUUUGGACAAUGUGGGAAACCCUGAUCCAGCCAUCCCGCGUGUAUGAUGAAGGCCUUCGGGUUGUAAAGUACUUUUGGCAGAGAAGAAAAGGUAUCCCCUAAUACGGGAUACUGCUGACGGUAUCUGCAGAAUAAGCACCGGCUAACUACGUGCCAGCAGCCGCGGUAAUACGUAGGGUGCAAUCGUUAAUCGGAAUUACUGGGCGUAAAGCUUGGGAAAGCAGUUCGGAAAGAAAGAUGUGAAAGCACAGUGCUCAACCUUGGAACUGCAUUUUUAACUGCCGGGCUAGAGUAUGUCAGAGGGGGGUAGAAUUCAACGUGUAGCAGUGAGAUGCGUAGAUAUGUGGAGGAAUACCGAUGGCGAAGGCAGCCCCCUGGGAUAAUACUGACGCUCAGACACGAAAGCGUGGGGAGCAAACAGG
rnacentral:rRNA from 1 species